rnacentral:rRNA from 1 species
GCACAAGCGGCGGAGCAUGCGGAUUAAUUCGAUGCAACGCGAAGAACCUUACCAAGGCUUGACAUACACCGGUAACGCCCAGAGAUGGGUGCCCCUUUGUGGUCGGUGGACAGGUGGUGCAUGGUUGUCGUCAGCUCGUGUCGUGAGAUGUUGGUUAAGUCCCGCAACGAGCCGCAACCCCCGUCCUAUGUUGCCAGCGGGUCAUGCCGGGGACUCAUGGGAGACUGCCGGGGUCAACUCGGAGGAAGGUGGGAUGACGUCAAAUCAUCAUGCCCCUUAUGUCUUGGGCUUCACGCAUGCUACAAUGGCCGGUACAAAGGGCUGCGAUACCGCGAGGUGGAGCGAAUCCCAGAAAGCCGGUCUCAGUUCGGAUUGGGGUCUGCAACUCGACCCCAUGAAGUCGGAGUCGCUAGUAAUCGCAGAUCAGCAACGCUGCGGUGAAUACGUUCCCGGGCCUU